GACGAACGCUGGCGGCGUGCUUAACACAUGCAAGUCGAACGGAAAGGCCCUGCUUUUGUGGGGUGCCCGAGUGGCGAACGGGUGAGUAACACGUGAGUAACCUGCCCUUGACUUUGGGAUAACUUCAGGAAACUGGGGAUAAUACCGGAUAGGAGCCCCUGCUGCAUGGUGGGGGUUGGAAAGUUUCGGCGGUUGGGGAUGGACUCGCGGCUUAUCAGCUUGUUGGUGGGGUAGUGGCUUACCAAGGCUUUGACGGGUAGCCGGCCUGAGAGGGUGACCGGCCACAUUGGGACUGAGAUACGGCCCAGACUCCUACGGGAGGCAGCAGUGGGGAAUAUUGCACAAUGGGCGGAAGCCUGAUGCAGCAACGCCGCGUGCGGGAUGACGGCCUUCGGGUUGUAAACCGCUUUCGCCUGUGACGAAGCGUGAGUGACGGUAAUGGGUGAAGAAGCACCGGCUAACUACGUG
rnacentral:rRNA from 1 species